CAGCCGUAAACUAUGCGCGUUAGGUGUAUCGGUGACCACGAGUUACCGAGGUGCCGAAGGGAAACCGUGAAACGUGCCGCCUGGGAAGUACGGCCGCAAGGCUGAAACUUAAAGGAAUUGGCGGGGGAGCACAACAACGGGUGGAGCCUGCGGUUUAAUUUGGACUCAACGCCGGACAACUCACCGGGGACGACAGCAAUAUGUAGGCCAGGCUGAAGACCUUGCCUGAAUCGCUGAGAGGAGGUGCAUGGCGUAGACGUCU
rnacentral:rRNA from 1 species